UACGAAGGGGGCUAGCGUUGCUCGGAAUCACUGGGCGUAAAGGGUGCGUAGGCGGGUCUUUAAGUUAGAGGUGAAAGCCCGGGGCUCAACCCCGGAAUUGCCUUUAAGACUGCAUCGCUUGAAUCCGGGAGAGGUGAGUGGAAUUCCGAGUGUAGAGGUGAAAUUCGUAGAUAUUCGGAAGAACACCAGUGGCGAAGGCGGCUCACUGGACCGGCAUUGACGCUGAGGUGCGAAAGCGUGGGGAGCAAACAGG
rnacentral:rRNA from 1 species